rnacentral:rRNA from 1 species
CGCUACCUGCAGUCGAGCGAGAAAGUGGGGCAACCCAUGAGUAAAGCGGCGUACGGGUGAGUAACACGUGGAUGAUCUACCUUCUAGUGGGGAAUAACCCUGGGAAACCGGGGCUAAUACCGCAUAAGCACGAGAGUGGAAAGCAGCAAUGCGCUGGAAGAGGAGUCCGCGGCCGAUUAGCUAGUUGGCAGGGUAAGAGCCUACCAAGGCAAAGAUCGGUAGCCGGCCUGAGAGGGCACACGGCCACACUGGCACUGAAACACGGGCCAGACUCCUACGGGAGGCAGCAGUGGGGAAUCUUGCACAAUGGGGGAAACCCUGAUGCAGCGACGCCGCGUGAGCGAUGAAGCCCUUCGGGGUGUAAAGCUCUUUCGGCAGGGAAGAUGAUGACGGUACCUGCAGAAGCAGCUGCGGCUAACUACGUGCCAGCAGCCGCGGUAAUACGUAGGCAGCAAGCGUUGUUCGGAGUUACUGGGCGUAAAGGGUGUGUAGGCGGUUGUUUAAGUUUGGUGUGAAAUCUCCCGGCUCAACUGGGAGGGUGCGCCGAAUACUGAAUGACUAGAGUGCGGGAGAGGCAAGUGGAAUUCCUGGUGUAGCGGUGAAAUGCGUAGAUAUCAGGAGGAACACCGGUGGUGUAGACGGCUUGCUGGACCGUAACCGACGCUGAGACACGAAAGCGUGGGUAGCAAACAGGAUUAGAUACCCUGGUAGUCCACGCCCUAAACGAUGCAUAUUUGGUGUGGGCAGUUCAUUCUGUCCGUGCCGGAGCUAACGCGUUAAAUAUGCCGCCUGGGGAGUACAGUCGCAAGGCUGAAGCUCAAAGGAAUUGACGGGGGCCCGCACAAGCGGU